rnacentral:rRNA from 1 species
UACUAUACUCAGUAGAGUAUUAAAGGUACUGCCUGCCCAGUGAAAAUCUUAAACGGCCGCGGUAUUCUAACCGUGCAAAGGUAGCGUAAUCACUUGUCUUCUAAAUAAAGACUAGUAUGAACGGCUAAAUGAGGAUAAGCCUGUCUCCUACAACCUAUCAGUGAAACUGAUCUUUCAGUCCAAAAGCUGAAAUAUAAACACAAGACGAGAAGACCCUGUGGAGCUUAAGAUUAACUAUUAAUAGGUCAAAAGACACCUAAUACAAAAUCUUAAGUUGGGGCGACUUCGGAAAAAAGGAAAACUUCCGAGCAUAGAGACACAACCUCUAACAAAGGCAGACAUGCCAAAGAACAGGUCCGACCCAGUCAUACUGAUCAACGAACCAAGUUACCCCAGGGAUAACAGCGCUAUCUUCUUCAAGAGUCCAUAUCGACAAGAAGGUUUACGACCUCGAUGUUGGAUCAGGACACCCAAAUGGUGCAGCCGCUAUUAAAGGUUCGUUUGUUCAACGAUUAACAGUCCUACGUGAUCUGAGUUCAGACCGGAGAAUCCAGGUCGGU